rnacentral:rRNA from 1 species
GACGAACGCUGGCGGCAUGCCUAACACAUGCAAGUCGAACGGAACUUGUUGAAUGAAGUUUUCGGAUGGAUUUUGAUAAGUUUAGUGGCGGACGGGUGAGUAACGCGUGAGCAACCUGCCUUUCAGAGGGGGACAACAGUUGGAAACGACUGCUAAUACCGCAUAAUGUAUCGGAACCGCAUGGCUCUGAUACCAAAGAUUUAUCGCUGAAAGAUGGGCUCGCGUACGAUUAGAUAGUUGGUGAGGUAACGGCUCACCAAGUCGACGAUCGUUAGCCGGACUGAGAGGUUGAACGGCCACAUUGGGACUGAGACACGGCCCAG